rnacentral:tRNA from 1 species
GGAGGGCUAGUCCUAAUCGGUAAGGCAGCGGUCUUGAAAACCGCCGGGGUAAAACCCAUGGGGGUUCGAAUCCCUCGCCCUCCGCCA